GCACGAAUAAAAGAGGAGAUCGUUCUCCUCUUGGGUGAGAGACCUAGAACAGUUCUAGAUUUUUGGGUGAGGAAAAAAUCAAAGAGAAGAGAGUCUUCAUCUAAUUUUUCUCCACCAUCCAACAUCCUUCUUUGAUCCAUCUUCGACAUCAAAAAGGUUUGAGGUGAUCGAAGAAAGAGAUCCAGUCAGAUCUACCAUCAGAAGCUAACUGUGCGAGCUAGCACUCCCGUGGAAGGUUGAUCGGUCUGAGGGGCUUCGUGUGGACCAUCCGUAGAGGUCG
rnacentral:lncRNA from 1 species